UUCAACACUUUGUAAGAUAGCAACUAUCCCAUUGUUACAAAGACAGUGGAUUAAAGGUUACUAUUGUAAAUCGGAAAGGAGGAUGCCACAUAAAAUAGAGGUUUAUUUGAAAUAACGUUUAAAAAGUAUAUUUUUAAUUCAUUUAAUUAAUCUUUAUAGGAGACUUUACAAAUAUAACCUGGAACCCUCCUAGCUGUGUUAGCACUACCCCUGCACCUACCACACCCCCACCCACAAUACCAGAGUUUCAUAGAUGCCAUCCUGGAGCCAGCUUUGUGUUUUUAUAUCUCUUCUGUGUUUAGUAUUACCAAAAAAUAUCUUGAUAUUAAUUUUUGUUUAUGAACAUCACUACUAAAUGUUUAUAUACAGUUCAAUGAUCAUAUUAGAAAAUAAAAGCAUUGAAAAAUGAA